AUAAUUUUAAAUUAAUUUAAAACUAAAAUGUAUUAUAAUUACAGUUAGUGUACAUGAUGUAGUGGAGCAUGUCUAUUAUAUUAACUUAAUAAAGCUUUAUACUUUCAUAUGUUAUCUGCAUGGUGGGGGGUGGGUGGUUGUGCAGAAAAAUUCAGGGGUGGAAGGUGAGUGAGUGGCACGUAGCAACAGAAUAAGGCACACAGAAGGUUGACUCGAGUAACCGCUGCCACGCCAUGAUUCAUCAUCAAAAUGCUGACGCCAUGGUCCCAGCCAGUGCGCGUUUAAG